GUCUGCGGCCGUACCACCCUGAGCGCGCCUGAUCGCGUCUCAUCUCGGAAGCUAAGCAGGGCCGGGCCUGGUUAGUAUUUAGAUGGGAGAAAUGAGGCUUCGUUCAAGCAGGCU
ensembl:rRNA 5S_rRNA 5S ribosomal RNA